rnacentral:rRNA from 1 species
GACAGAGGUGCCAAGCGUUAGGCGGAAUCACUGGGCUUAAAGCGUGUGUAGGCGGGCGAUCAAAGUACCUUGUGAAAUCCCACGGCUCAACCGUGGAACUGCUGGGUAUACUGGUUGUCUUGAGCCAGCUAGGGGCGAGCGGAACAGACGGUGGAGCGGUGAAAUGCGUAGAUAUCGUCUGGAACGCCGAAGGUGAAAACAGCUCGCUGGGGCUGCGCUGACGCUGAGACACGAAAGCCAGGGGAGCGAAACGGG